rnacentral:rRNA from 1 species
UCAAGUUAUUAAGGGUGCAGGGCGGAUGCCUUGGCACUAGGAGCCGAUGAAGGACGUGAUAAGCUGCGAUAAGCUUCGGGGAGUUGCACGUAAACUUUGAUCCGAAGAUUUCCGAAUGAGGAAACUCACUUAGAGUAAUGUCUAAGUAUCAUUAAGUGAAUACAUAGCUUAAUGAGGGGAACUCAGGGAACUGAAACAUCUAAGUACCUGAAGGAAGAGAAAGAAAUUCGAUUCCGUAAGUAGCGGCGAGCGAACGCGGAUUAGCCCAAACCAAUAAAGUUUUCUUUAUUGGGGUUGCGGACAUAUCAUAACGAAGAGGUAUCGUAAUUGAAGAGGUUUGGAAAGACCCACCACAGAAGGUAAUAGUCCUGUAUGUUAAACGAGAAGACUUUAGAUAUGAUCCAGAGUACCACGGGACACGUGAAACCCUGUGGGAAGCAGGAGGGACCACCCUCCAAGGCUAAAUACUACCUAGUGACCGAUAGCGUAUAGUACCGUGAGGGAAAGGUGAAAAGAACCCCGGGAGGGGAGUGAAAUAGAACCUGAAACCCUGCACUUACAAGCUGUGGAAGCACAUUUCUUGUGUGACCGCGUACUUUUUGUAGAACGGGCCAACGAGUUACGUUAAGUAGCAAGGUUAAGCACUUAAGGUGCGGAGCCGUAGCGAAAGCGAGUUUUAACUGAGCGUUCAGUUACUUGACGUAGACCCGAAACCGGGCGACCUACCCAUGAGCAGGAUGAAGCGAAAGUAAAAUUUCGUGGAGGUCCGAACCCACGAGCGUUGAAAAGCUCGGGGAUGACUUGUGGGUAGCGGUGAAAUUCCAAUCGAGCCCGGAGAUAGCUGGUUCUCCCCGAAAUAGCUUUAGGGCUAGCCUCAAGGUGAGAGAUACGGAGGUAGAGCACUGAAUGUCCUAGGGGGUAUUGCACCUACCGAAGACUAUCAAACUCCGAAUGCCGUCAUCUUAUACUUGGGAGUCAGACUGUGGGUGAUAAGAUUCAUAGUCGAAAGGGCAACAGCCCAGAUCGUCAGCUAAGGUCCCUAAAUGUAAGUUAAGUGGUAAAGGAUGUGGGAUUGCACAGACAACCAGGAUGUUGGCUUAGAAGCAGCCACUCAUUCAAAGAGUGCGUAAUAGCUCACUGGUCGAGUGAUCCUGCGCCGAAGAUUUCCGGGGCUAAAACUUACUACCGAAGCUACGGCAUCAGUAAUGAUGGGUAGGGGAGCUUCCCAUACGGGUUGAAGCAUGACCGUAAGGACAUGUGGACAGUAUGGGAGUGAGAAUGUUGGCAUGAGUAGCGAGAUGUGGGUGAGAAUCCCACAGGCCGUAAACCCAAGGUUUCCAGGGGAAGGUUCGUCCGCCCUGGGUUAGUCGGGACCUAAGCUGAGGCCGAAAGGCGUAGGUGAUGGACAACAGGUUGAUAUUCCUGUACUACCGAUAACCGUUUGAGAGAAGGGAUGACACAGUAGGAUAAGCUAAGCACACUGUUGGUUAUGUGUGCCCAAGCAUUGAGGCAGUCAAAGUAGGCAAAUCCGCUUUGAUAAUGCUGGGAUGUGAUGGGGAGCGAAAUUUAGUAGCGAAGUAGCUGAUUUCACACUGUCAAGAAAAGUCUCUAUCGAGGUUAAAGGUACCCGUACCGCAAACCGACACAGGUGGGUGAGGAGAGUAUCCUAAGGCCAGCGAGAGAACUGUUGUUAAGGAACUCGGCAAAAUGACCCCGUAACUUAGGGAUAAGGGGUGCCACCAUCAGGUGGCCGCAGAGAAUAGGCCCAAGCGACUGUUUACCAAAAACAUAGGUUUCUGCUAAGUCGCAAGACGAUGUAUAGGAGCUGACGCCUGCCCGGUGCUGGAAGGUUAAGGGGAUCUGUUAGAGCAAUCGAAGCAGUGAACUUAAGCCCCAGUAAACGGCGGCCGUAACUAUAACGGUCCUAAGGUAGCGAAAUUCCUUGUCGGGUAAGUUCCGACCCGC